rnacentral:rRNA from 1 species
UACGUAGGGUGCAAGCGUUGCCCGGAUUUAUUGGGCGUAAAGGGCGCGUAGGCGGCUCUGCACGUUCGUUGUGAAAUCGCCCGGCUCAACUGGGCGGGGUCAGCGGAUACGGCAGAGCUUGAGCAAGCUAGGGGGCAAUGGAAUUCCCGGUGUAGUGGUGGAAUGCGUAGAUAUCGGGAGGAACACCAGUGGCGAAGGCGGCUCUCUGGGACGGUACUGACGCUGAGACGCGAAAGCGUGGGGAGCGAACAGG